CUCGCCGGGGCCGCGGCGCGCCGUCUGCCGCUGCCACCUCAGCCGCGCUCGGUCCCGGCAGACUCCCGCCGCUCACCGCCCUGAGCUGACGGUCCCGCCACGCUCGCCGCCGCCGCUGCCAGCACAACAGAUUCAUCCAUGAGCUCGGAUUUCCCACAUUACAACUUCAGGAUGCCUAAUAUUGGAUUCCAGAACCUGCCACUCAACAUAUAUAUUGUGGUUUUUGGCACUGCUAUAUUUGUCUUCCUCCUUAGUGUGCUCUUCUGUUGCUACUUGAUUAGGCUAAGACAUCAAGCACACAAAGAAUUUUAUGCCUACAAACAGGUUAUAUUAAAAGAAAAAGUAAAAGAACUGAAUUUACAUGAGCUCUGUGCCGUGUGUCUAGAGGACUUCAAGCCUCGAGAUGAGUUGGGGAUUUGUCCCUGUAAGCAUGCCUUCCACAGAAAGUGCCUUAUUAAGUGGCUGGAGGUUCGCAAAGUAUGUCCACUGUGCAACAUGCCAGUUCUGCAACUGGCCCAGUUGCACAGUAAGCAGGACCGUGGACCCCCCCAGGGGCCCCUCCCUGGGGCAGAGAACAUUGUAUAGCUCAUCACAAGGAUCAGACGGUUGCAGGAUCCGACGUCUGUGUGGAGCCAGGAGGAGCGCAAGCAGUCUCUGUGUUGGCUGCUCUGCCUGGGGCACCAGCUGCCACUUCCUUUGUCUCAUAAAGGAAGAACUCUCGGGCCAGCUAGGCUGGGAACCCAGACUUCUGCGUCUUGUGACAACCAAAGUAUUCGGACACUACCCCAUGCCAAGAGAAGAGGAGUGGAUGAGCCUGCGGGUUUGGUUCAAGAAACCUCAUGAGGGUCUCUCGCUCACUCCAUUACACUCUGUCUCCCAGACACUUAUCUCCAUAUCAAGACAAGUAUAUUCAAGGAGCAUUCCUAGUCAUGUGGGAAGAACCAUCCCAGAAGUCAGAAUUCUGUCUGUAAAAGGUGAGCCCAGAAUUGGGGGAUGUUUCUGUAAUUACACUCCUUUUGAAUAAGGCAUAUUUUCCACUGAUUGCAGCAUGAAGAAAUUCUAGUUUUCUAUACAGAUCAAACUACAGUCCUUCCCCGACCCUAACCACAGAUGCCCAAAUAACAAGAGAGCUCAGCCAGUUCCCAGCCUGAGCCUCUGACAGGACACUCAAGAGCAGGCUCCACAGCCGAAAGUGACAGCACAGUCCAGCUGCCUUUGCAGGGGACCGGACAGGCUGCAGCCGCACCCCAGCCCCCAGCCCAGUUUGAAGUAAGGACCAAGAGCCCAGCAGUGACAUCUGGCUACAGCUGUCAUGGUUUCUUAGGCAAGCCCAUGUCUUUGAGGCAGGAGUUUGAGAAGCAACACUAACUGAAGGCUGAGGCAUCCUUCCGUUUUGUGGGGCAGAUGUCUCAGAUGUUGCUAAGCAAAUAGGUGGUCAGCUGCCUCAGAGUUAACAGAUAUGGCUGUCCAUGUUCAAGUUCAUGAACCUACUCCUUUUCCCUUGCCACUCUAUGCACACACUAAAAUGUUCCCACAGAAUUUCCUCCUCCCCCAUUAUUUCCAGUCACAACAGAAAUUACCCAACCAACAUUUUCUUCUAAAAAAAAUUUAAGGUCAUUCUUGCCCCUGCAUGAGAUCAGAGUUAAAAGCCGUUUCCUCCAAGCAGCUCUGUGGGGAGGGACACGGACUUGUGCCUCUGCUUCCUCACCCACCUCCCUGGUAGCCUGCCACCCAGAGCAGCAGCCCAGGGAUCCCCUAGAUUAAAAGUGCAGCUUGGGCCCCUGACCUGAACUUGGAAGGGAAUUGUAUGUGAAACUCCACCCUUCUGUCAUUUGAUGAACCUCUUGCCCUGGGUUAGUCAUUUAGGCAUUUGAGUAAAGGAGAUGAAUGUGUCUAAACUCUGGUGAAAUCUGCAGUUGAGAACUGGAAAAUGCUGGGUCAUGUUCCUUUAGUAGAUGAGACUAAGGAAGGCUCCCGUGGGCCAUGGAAUGUGCUUCCAUUUGACUGGGAACAUGAGGAAAACAGAGGGGCUUGUUCAGUAAAUGUCACUAUUCCAGUUUAGCUUCAGAGCCUGAACUGUGGUUGCAAGAUGCAGAGUUUUAUUCCACAUUCAUGCUAAGUAUCAGCACACUUGGCUUACCAACCCAGCACUCACUUCUGUGGCUACAGUAUCAGGGCCUCCCUGCUCCAGGGACAUGUACCUACAGUGUGGGCCCCACCAGUGUCAAGGGACUUGUCUACACUUCGAUGAAGCCCUCGCAGCUCCCUGAGCCAGUGCAAGCCUGGCAGAUCUGCGACUCGGGCCAGGUGCACGCCAUCCCCCCAUCCACCCCUUCCCUCCCAGGCCCUGCUAGAGCAGGAGAGGCAGAUGGGGCUAGUGUUAGGAAGUCCUUCCUAGUGACAGCUCAGUCUUCCAAGAGUGUUCCUGAACUGUCAUCUCUGGGUCUCUGGACAGAUCAUUGCCAGAAAGAGGGGAUACUAGUCUUGUAGUUUUAAGUUCAUUGGGGUUUAUUCACUAGAUAUCGUAUAACUCCCUCAAAAAAAAGGUUUAUGAAAUGCUGAGCCUCAGGUUUCAGACAUGUUUGUACACUAAGAAUUAUGCAGCAGAAUAUUUUUAAACAUUCGCAGUUUUUUUGUAAGCUAUAUAUUUUUGUAUAUUCAAUUGCUAUUUUAAAAUUUUAAUGCAUUUUGCUAAGUACUCUUGUUUAAAAAAAUAGAACAUGCAUGUAAUUGACUUAAAUGUAAAUAAAAAGCAGAUUUUAAAAAUACUUUGUGCUGAGCACGUACACACCCUUUGUCACCCACAUCC